rnacentral:lncRNA from 1 species
AGACCUUCCUAGAGUAUUCCGACUGGUUCUGAAUAGUAACUUCUGUAGGUCAGAGAAGACCUGAAGCAUGACCCAGGCAGGGCGACUGAUAUGGGGACAGAAACACAAAGCCAAAUUCCAGGAGGACGAUGGAAGGAACCUGGGACAUCUGCCCAUAGGCAGGAAGGACCAGUGGAUGGUCACGAUUUCUGCCUUCAAGCAACUGACAGGUUUCCAUGUGACAGGUUUGAUCUGUUUGGCCCUCUAGGGAUGAUCAGGACCUGUGAGUGAAAACACUACAAGAUUCCAUUUCGGCAUUCGGGAGAAUUUUCUAUUGAUCACGGAUGUUCCCACAUGGAAUGAGCUAUCCUGAGAGGGCUGAUCCACAUCUCACACUUAAAGCAAGGGCCACGUGCAGGGGCUUCUGGAAUUUGAAGUGCUCCUCUAGUCAUAAGAACAGACUCCACUGCAAAAGGGGAAAUGGAGAAUCAUGAAAAGGUAAGUUAUUAAGUCAAACCACCUCCCGCAUCAGUGAGAAGCUGGCAGGCAGGGCAGCUGCCCAGGCCCAAGCCAGAAGAUAGGCACAGGACAGACACCUGGCCUAGAAGCCGCUCCCAUCUCCCGCAGCCUCACUGCCAGACUGUGGCUUGGUAGAGCCCUAGGACCCCAGCUCAGACAUGGGGAGUGGUUUCUAUUCUUAGGGAUCACUGGCAAGCUACCAUUUAAUAAGCACCUACUGGAUACCAGGCCUGGGCUGGACACUUGGCUCACCUCUGCAUAUUAAAGCGGCCCCCUGUGAAGUUGGCAUUGUUACCAGCUCCAUUUCCCAGAUGACAAAACUGAGACUCAGAGAGACUUGCCCAGGGUGCAGUGAUAGGCAGUUCUGAGACAAACUCCAAAAGCCCAGCCACUCCGCCUCCUGCUGGUAAUGACAAGGGGCCCAAAGCAACCAAGUCUGGGUUCUCCUUGCAGCCUCCCAACGCUUUACUUCCUCACCUGUAAAAUGAGGUGAGUGAGGAUCCCCAGUCUGACCAGAGAGCAGCCUCCAUAGUUGCUUUGAGGUCUGCGGGAACUAUUAUUAUGUAAAGAGUGCCGGCCUCCAUUCCGAAAUUAGGUGUAACUGAUGCAACACAAAGGGGCCGUGCUGUGCAAAGUCAGCCAGCCAGGCUCCGUCCGCGCCUCUCUCCAAAGCCCCUGUGGGCUGGGUUGUUUCCUUUGUUCCACAGGCACAGGCCUGGUAACAAGGCAGCCAGGAGCUCAGCUGUAGACAUUUUUUUCAUUAUUUUCCACCCUGUUAACCUCCAUCACAAGUCAGGCUGCUGUCAGCCUAAAUGAGAACUGAAAAGAUUUAUCUCACUUGUCCCAGGGCUCAGCUCAGGAAAAAAGACCCUUCAUUUCCUAAAGGCCUUGAUGACCCUUUCUCUGUGAGUCACUCCCACCAAGGAAAAAAGAUGUGACAGCAGCAGCAGGCGGGGGCUGGGAAUGGGACCAACAGUCCAAACUUGCAGACGUCUGGAUCACUUCAGUUUGGCUUUGCAAAGCACUGUGUAAUUUUUUUUUCUUUGCACCGUAUUUACCUUCCUAAUUGUGUUUGCUUAUGCAAUAUGAAACUUAGCCCACAUUUCAUAAACACAACCCCAGAAGGAGACCAGAAGCAUAUUGUGUGGCAGGAGAAAAUUAGCCUGCGAUUACACUUUUGCUAUAGAAGUAAUCCUCAAAGUGGACAAUCCAAACACAGACCAUGGAGAGAUGAUUAUAUUUUCAAUCAACUUGUCCCCUUCUUUGUGCUUCUAGCAAUCUCAGAUCACCAAACCCCUGAAACUGGCACCUGGCAAGAAGAGAUGAGCUAGAUUCUUUUGGUAAUAAUAGUCUCUUAAAUUCGCAUAAUAAUAGUCAGCUUUCAUGAGCACCUACUAAGUGCCAAGUGAUGCUCUCCAUGCUGUACACAGGAACAACAAGCCUGUUAAUCCUUCCAUCUGCCCAUGGGUAUUUAUCUCCAUCACCAUUUCACAAAUGAGGAAACUGAGGCACAGAGCAUUGAAGUAACAAGCCCGAAGAUACACAGCUAAUAAAUCAUGGAACCAGGAUUAUGAACCCAAGAAUUUAAGAAUUCUGGACCCAGAGGCCACAUCCCAAACCACUUUGCAAUAAUGCCACUCUCCCCGCACACCAUUUGUUUAACGCUCACCCUCCUGGGAAGUAGCUGAUCUUAACCCUGCAGGAUAGACAAAGAGGAUGAGUUUCACAGAGGCUAAAUAACUUACCCAUUUUACAGACAAGGAAACUGAAAUUCACAAAAGUGAGUUUAGUUCUACAAACAUUUGCACAGCACCUUGUACAUGCCAGGCACUGUGCAAGGAACGUGGGAUACAGAGACCUCAGUGCUCCUUCCACACUCAGCUUCUGGAUGUUUAUAUGGGUAAAACCUUUCUGAAGGCAAUAAGGUACACUGUCAAAAGCAUUAAAAAUGAGCAUACUUUCGACUCUAAAAUUCCCACUGCAGAAACUGAUCCUAAGAAAGUAACAGCGAAUGUGACAAAGAAGCUCACGGCAGUGUUAUUUAUAAGAGUAAAAUAACAGAAAUAAACUAAGUGCUCAACAAUAAGAGAUUAAAU